AUCAUAAGAUAUGUAACACUCCCGUUUUUAUGGUGACGCAUAUAGAGAAAUUUAAAAUAACUGAUUUGGUCAGUGAGUAAAGUUCACUAUCUUUCGGUCAAACGUUAUAAAAAAACUUUAUAGUUAAUUGUGAUUCGUCUAGAAAAAUCUCAUGAUGAGUGACCUGCUAUAGGAAUUGAUUAUUGGAUCUAUAUGAGUAAAGACAAAACAAAAAGAAAGAUCGUGAUAAUUUGUAGAACCAAUAAACAAGUUUUUAAAAAUUUUAGACAUAACGAACCGACCGUCAGACAUGGAUGAGACCUAGGGAUGAAACCUAUGGACCCAAGAGAGAUGUGAGUGCUCACUACUAAAGACGGUCGGAGCGUUACAAGAUAGAUGGUUAAUUAGACUACUUACAAUAGUUACUUUAAGUUGUGGAUG
rnacentral:sRNA from 1 species